rnacentral:rRNA from 1 species
GACAGAGGGGGCAAGCGUUGCUCGGAAUCACUGGGCGUAAAGGGCGCGUAGGCGGGAUGGCAAGUCAGUCGUGAAAUCUCUCGGCUCAACCGAGAAACGUCGGCUGAUACUGCCGUUCUUGAGGGAUGCAGAGGAGACUGGAAUUCCCGGUGUAGCGGUGAAAUGUGUAGAGAUCGGGAGGAACACCGGUGGCGAAGGCGGGUCUCUGGACAGUUCCUGACACUGAGGCACGAAGGCCAGGGGAGCAAACGGG